CCCUUAGAUGUUCUGGGCCGCACGCGCGCUACACUGAUGCAUUCAACGAGUUUCUUCCUGGUCCGAGAGGAAUGGGUAACCUUUUGAAAGUGCAUCGUGAUAGGGAUAGACUAUUGCAAUUAUUGGUCUUCAACGAGGAAUUCCUAGUAGACGGAGUUCAUCAGACUGCAUCGAUUACGUCCCUGCCCUUUGUACACACCGCCCGUCGCUCCUACCGAUUGAAUGCUCAGGUGAGCCAUUCGGACUUUCAUCAUGCUGGUUUCCAGUUUUGAUGAAGGAAAGUCUUGCGAACCUUAUCAUUUAGAGGAAGGAGAAGUCGUAACA
rnacentral:rRNA from 1 species